GACGAACGCCGGCGGCGUGCUUAACACAUGCAAGUCGAGCGGAAAGGCCCUUCGGGGUACUCGAGCGGCGAACGGGUGAGUAACACGUGGGUAACCUGCCCUUCACUCUGGGACAACUCCGGGAAACCGGGGCGUAAUACCGGAUAUGACCCUUUGAGGCAUCUCUCGGGGUGGAAAGUUUUUCGGUGAAGGAUGGACCCGCGGCCUAUCAGCUUGUUGGUGGGGUAAUGGCCUACCAAGGCAGUGACGGGUAGCCGGCCUGAGAGGGCGACCGGCCACACUGGGACUGAGACACGGCCCAGACUCCUACGGGAGGCAGCAGUGGGGAAUAUUGCGCAAUGGGCGGAAGCCUGACGCAGCGACGCCGCGUGAGGGAUGACGGUCUUCGGAUUGUAAACCUCUUUCAGCAGGGACGAAGCGCAAGUGACGGUACCUG
rnacentral:rRNA from 1 species